rnacentral:rRNA from 1 species
GGGAAUAUUGGACAAUGGGGGCAACCCUGAUCCAGCCAUGCCGCGUGAGUGAAGAAGGCCCUCGGGUUGUAAAGCUCUUUUGUCCGGAAAGAAAAGCUUCGGGUUAAUACCCCGGGGUUCUGACGGUACCGGAAGAAUAAGCACUGGCUAACUUCGUGCCAGCAGCCGCGGUAAUACGAAGGGUGCAAGCGUUACUCGGAAUUACUGGGCGUAAAGCGUGCGUAGGUGGUUGUUUAAGUCUGAUGUGAAAGCCCUGGGCUCAACCUUGGAAUGGCAUUGGAGACUGGGCAGCUAGAGUGCGGUAGAGGGUAGUGGAAGUCCCGGUGUAGCAGUGAAAUGCGUAGAGAUCGGGAGGAACAUCUGUGGCGAAGGCGACUGCCUGGACCAGCACUGACACUGAGGCACGAAAGCGUGGGG